UACGUAGGGGGCGAGCGUUGUCCGGAAUCAUUGGGCGUAAAGCGCGUGUAGGCGGCCCGGUAAGUCCGCUGUGAAAGUCCAGGGCUCAACCCUGGGAUGCCGGUGGAUACUGUCGGGCUCGAGUCCGGAAGAGGCGAGUGGAAUUCCUGGUGUAGGCGGUGAAAUGCGCAGAUAUCAGGAGGAACACCAAUGGCGAAGGCAGCUCGCUGGGACGUGACUGACGCUGAGACGCGAAAGCGUGGGGAGCAAACAGG
rnacentral:rRNA from 1 species